GCGGAGAGCCGGAUGGCCGCUUUGGUUUGACCCUUGGGUCGGGCCGGGAGGAAAGUCCGGACUCCAUGAGACAACGGUGCCGGGUAACGCCCGGCCGGGGUAACCCGAGGGAAAGCGCCACAGAAAACAAACCGCUUCGGUCCGCCGAAGUAAGGAUGAAACGGUGGGGUAAGAGCCCACCGCGGACCUGGCAACAGGGACGGCACGGCAAGCCCCACCGGGAGCAAUGCCAAAUAGGGGUCUCGUGCGGGGUCGGUCCUUUCGGGGAUACCGCCACGCAGGGUCGUUUCAGCCCGAGAGGCCCGGGUUGGCAGCUUGAUCCCGUCGGUAACGGCGGGGCCAGAGGAAUGGUCAUCGAACCGUGGUAACGCGGGGAACAGAAUCCGGCUUACAGGCUCUCCGCGCUU
rfam:Boseongicola aestuarii strain CECT 8489 genome assembly, contig: 0004